CCUACGGGAGGCAGCAGUGGGGAAUAUUGGACAAUGGGCGAAAGCCUGAUCCAGCAAUGCCGCGUGAGUGAUGAAGGCCUUAGGGUUGUAAAGCUCUUUUACCUGGGAUGAUAAUGACAGUACCUGGAGAAUAAGCUCCGACUAACUCCGUGCCAGCAGCCGCGGUAAUACGGAGGGAGCUAGCGUUGUUCGGAAUUACUGGGCGUAAAGCGUACGUAGGCGGUUAUUCAAGUCAGAGGUGAAAGCCCGGGGCUCAACCCCGGAACUGCCUUUGAAACUAGAUAGCUAGAAUCUUGGAGAGGUUAGUGGAAUUCCGAGUGUAGAGGUGAAAUUCGUAGAUAUUCGGAAGAACACCAGUGGCGAAGGCGACUAACUGGACAAGUAUUGACGCUGAGGUACGAAAGCGUGGGGAGCAAACAGGAUUAGAUACCCUGGUAGUCCACGCCGUAAACGAUGAUAACUAGUUGUUCGGGCACUUGGUGCCUGAGUGACGCAGCUAACGCAUUAAGUUAUCCGCCUGGGGAGUACGGUCGCAAGNUUAAAACUUAAAGGAAUUGACGG
rnacentral:rRNA from 1 species